UAGGAUAGAUAUAUGAUAAGU
rnacentral:piRNA from 1 species